UGAGGUUGCCAAAUCCCUGCCCGCUUUAUUAUCCUCCCGCGAUGAAUUUCUCCAUCUCAGCCAAAGCUCUUACCUACACCUGUGUCUCUUCUUGCUUCGUCCAUGUCUACAAGAUUAUAAAAUGUACCUCGAAUUCAAGUCAAAGAAAUGAAAGAGUUGAGGGAAUACAAACAGGAAUUGAACACUGUUCUAGACCUGGAAAAACUGAGAUCAACUGGGAUUAAAUGGUAUUUGGAUAAA
rnacentral:lncRNA from 1 species